rnacentral:tRNA from 1 species
GGGGCUGUGGCUUAGUGGUAGAGCACUUGCCUGGCAUGUAUGAGGCACUGGGUACGAUUCUCAGUUCCA